rnacentral:rRNA from 1 species
AUUACACAAAUAUGAAGGCGGGCUGGAACCUCUCGGGGGUUACAGCCUUGCUGANNUAUUCACCCUUGUCUUUUGCGUACUUCUUGUUUCCUUGGUGGGUUCGCCCACCACUAGGACAAACAUAAACCUUUUGUAAUUGCAAUCAGCGUCAGUAACAAAUUAAUAAUUACAACUUUCAACAACGGAUCUCUUGGUUCUGGCAUCGAUGAAGAACGCAGCGAAAUGCGAUAAGUAGUGUGAAUUGCAGAAUUCAGUGAAUCAUCGAAUCUUUGAACGCACAUUGCGCCCUUUGGUAUUCCAAAGGGCAUGCCUGUUCGAGCGUCAUUUGUACCCUCAAGCUUUGCUUGGUGUUGGGCGUCUUGUCUCUAGCUUUGCUGGAGACUCGCCUUAAAGUAAUUGGCAGCCGGCCUACUGGUUUCGGAGCGCAGCACAAGUCGCACUCUCUAUCAGCAAAGGUCUAGCAUCCAUUAAGCCUUUUUUCAACUUUUGACCUCGGAUCAGGUAGGGAUACCCGCUGAACUUAAGCAUAUCAAUAAGCGGAGGAAAAGAAACCAACAGGGAUUGCCCUAGUAACGGCGAGUGAAGCGGCAACAGCUCAAAUUUGAAAUCUGGCUCUUUUAGAGUCCGAGUUGUAAUUUGCAGAGGGCGCUUUGGCUUUGGCAGCGGUCCAAGUUCCUUGGAACAGGACGUCACAGAGGGUGAGAAUCCCGUACGUGGUCGCUGGCUAUUGCCGUGUAAAGCCCCUUCGACGAGUCGAGUUGUUUGGGAAUGCAGCUCUAAAUGGGAGGUACAUUUCUUCUAAAGCUAAAUAUUGGCCAGAGACCGAUAGCGCACAAGUAGAGUGAUCGAAAGAUGAAAAGCACUUUGGAAAGAGAGUCAAACAGCACGUGAAAUUGUUGAAAGGGAAGCGCUUGCAGCCAGACUUGCUUACAGUUGCUCAUCCGGGUUUUUACCCGGUGCACUCUUCUGUAGGCAGGCCAGCAUCAGUUUGGGCGGUAGGAUAAAGGUCUCUGUCAC